UACGGAGGUCCCAAGCGUUGUUCGGAUUCACUGGGCGUAAAGGGCGCGUAGGCGGUCGGUUAAGUCUGAUGUGAAAUCUCACAGCUUAACUGUGAAACUGCAUUGGAUACUAUUCGGCUUGAGAGUUGGAGGGGGGACUGGAAUUCUUGGUGUAGCAGUGAAAUGCGUAGAUAUCAAGAGGAACACCAGUGGCGAAGGCGAGUCCCUGGACAGCUUCUGACGCUGAGGCACGAAAGCCAGGGGAGCAAACGGG
rnacentral:rRNA from 1 species